rnacentral:lncRNA from 1 species
UUAAAUUCAUAUCAUAAAAUUCAUCAAGAACGAGAGGUAAAAUCAUAAUUUUGAAGGAGAAGACCAAGCUAGCAUGGAAUUCAAGAUACUUUAUACAAGAAUUUAAAGAUUCAAGGCAUAGAUUCAAAAUCAAGACCAAGAUAUUAGUUCUCCAUCAAGAUUCGUAUAUUGUUCUAUGAUUUGGGUCAUGUCUUUUCGUAAUUAUUUGUAUAAUUCAUAUAUAAUAAUGCUAGGCUAAAUCCUUAUCUGUAUUGGAUGAAGAUGAAGAUGAACCAUGCCCUCCCUCUCUAUCCAUCUAAGGAAUGGAAUUUAAUUAUUUAUUUUAAUUCAAGACAAGAAGUUUAGUAAUUCUUUUAUUAUUUAUUAAUUAUGCAUGCUCAUUGUAUUAUUUAAUUGUUUGAUAAUUAGGUAAUUAGUUGCUUGUUGUAUUAAAACACGGGCUAUUGAUGUUGGAAAUGACAUAUAUCGCGU